rnacentral:misc_RNA from 1 species
AAGUCGUAACAAGGUUUCCGUAGGUGAACCUGCGGAAGGAUCAUUAAAAGGUUUAUCUAGGGGUGGGUGAAACCCCCCUUAGGAAACUCCACCCUUGUGUAUUAUUACUUGUUGCUUUGGUGGGCCGCGAGAUUGCCUAGCGAUUGAGCACCGGCUUCGGCUGGAGAGCGCCUGCCAGAGGACCAAACUCUGUUAUUUUAUGUCGUCUGAGUACUAUUUAAUAGUUAAAACUUUCAACAACGGAUCUCUUGGUUCUG